GUCCGUAUGGUCUAGUGGUAUGACGUUCGCCUCACACGGUUACGUGGUCGCGACAGGUCCCAGGUUCGAUCCCUGGUGUGGACA